UGUCUUCUUCAUUUUGUGGGUGCCGAAUACUCCAUAACUCACAACACCAAGCUUUAUUCUUUGAUUUUCUCUCAAAAAUUUCUUCACGAAAAUUGUCGGGAAUAUUGUGUAGAUCGUUAAGGUGUAUUUGCAUGUUCGUUUGAGAUCCAGCGAGUUUUGUCGCGGAAACCGGCGAGCAAAGGUUUUGAAUAUUCGACGGGUGAUAUUUUUAUAUUUGGAAUAAGCGAGUACUUGCUGUGUGAUCACCGGUAUUGCAUUUAGAAUGGGUUGCAUGUGAAAAUGGUAUGUGGAAAUCUGGACGACGGUCUGGAAGUCAGGCGACGGCCUAGACAUAUGGAAACAGAUCUUCAGAGGCAACGGAAUACAGACGACCAAAGGCAGUUAGCGAAACUGCCGAGAUCUGAGAGGUUGAACCUUUUAUUAAAAAAAGUGAAAUUAGCGACAGUAUUUAUGUACUGCCGAAAUCCGUUGUAUUGUAAGAAGAGUCUGGGACUUUCAAAUACGUAAAAUAAGAGUAAUCGGAUUUGACUGGCUAAAAGUACAAAAAGAGAAAAUAAAUACGGCCAAAGGAAAAUAAAAGGUUAACCCGAAUGGAAUGGAAAAAAAAGUGGAAUAUUUAUGUUUCCUGUUUUGAAAGCAUAUAGGAACAUGAUUCAUGGUUUAGGGUUUCAUAUGAAUCGGUAAUCUGGAAUGCAUUGCUUUCAUAUUAAUGUUUAUUAGUACAUGUUGUACGCAUUCACCAGUUUUUAUAACUGACCCCGUUGAAUUUAUAAUUUUUACAGGCGAGUAGUUUGACGUGUGGAUUUCCAAUUUCUUGUUCCGGAAAUCCCUGGCUUGAACAAAGUGAGAAUGACUUUCCUUUAUGUGUCUAGAGUUGCAGUAUCUAGAAUAAAUGAACGGUGAUACCUUAGUAGUCGUUGGACUUAUUUAUGCUUUAUAUUUUAUUAUAACGCUUAAACUCUGAUAUUGUGUAAUAUGGGAAUGCUGUGCGAAAGUCCGAGCGACUGCACUUGAAAAAAAUGCGACGAACGCAUCUGCAUAGUGAAAUGCAGUUAAGUCCAUAGAGAAAUGGCCUGCAUAGUGAAAUGCAGUAAUUACCAUAGUAAGAUGGUAUGCAUAAUGAGAUGCAUUAUAAACCAUAGAGAAAUGGUUUUGAAACAAAAAUGCAAUAAUUAAAGAGAAAAUUAUGUGCAUGUUUUAAAUGGUAAUUUUUAUAAGAACGUUUUAAACUGCGAUUUUAAAAUGUUCGAAAAUGAUUUGAAUUCCGCGAAAAAUUUUAAGUGAUUUUUAAUGUAUUUUUAAGGCUUGCUACGGGUUUCGGAGCAACCACUCCCAUUCCCUAGCGCCGGUCUCGACGCCGAGAAUCGGGUCGUGACAAAGGUGGUAUCAGAGCAAUGGUCGAAAAGUGGGUCAUUGUUGAGUUUGAUAUCAAAGUGAUGGUUUAUAGGCUUAAACCAUUACUAAUAUGUGAAAGGAACCCUAUGAUGUUGUUGAUUCCUAGGUAUCUUGGCACUAGAAUAAUCUAGCUAAGGAUUGAUAGAUUGAUAUAGAGUCUACUGCAACAUAUAAGUUUCUGUCAUGUCAUUUGUUAA